ACGCAGCAGGCGUGCCUGGCUGCGUGGCGAACGGCUGAGGAACACGUGGGUAACCUGCCCCGGAGUGGGGGAUACCCCGUCGAAAGACGGGACAAUCCCGCAUACGCUCUUUGGAGGAAAGCCAUCCGGCGCUCUGGGAGGGGCCUGCGGCCCAUCAGGUAGUUGGUGUGGUAACGGCGCACCAAGCCAAUGACGGGUACCCGGUCUGAGAGGACGACCGGGCAGACUGGGACUGCGACACGGCCCAGACUCCUACGGGAGGCAGCAGCAAGGAAUUUUCCCCAAUGGGCGCAAGCCUGAGGGAGCAACGCCGCGUGGAGGACGACGGCCUUCGGGUUGUAAACUCCUUUCGGGUGGGACGAAGCUGACGGUACCACCAGAAGCAGCCCCGGCUAACUCUGUGCCAGCAGCCGCGGUAAGACAGAGGGGGCAAGCGUUGUCCGGAGUUACUGGGCGUAAAGGGCGCGCAGGCGGUGAGCUGCGUCGGCGCUGAAAGCGCCCCGCUUAACGGGGCGAGGUGCGCCGAUACGAGUCCACUCGAGGCAAGCAGAGGGUGGCGGAAUUCCGGGUGGAGCGGUGAAAUGCGUAGAGAUCCGGAGGAACGCCGGUGGGGAAGCCGGCCACCUGGGCUUGACCUGACGCUGCGGCGCGACAGCGUGGGGAGCAAACCGGAUUAGAUACCCGGGUAGUCCACGCCGUAAACGAUGCCGGCUCGGCGUCUGGCGCACGUUAGUGUGCUGGGCGCCUUAGCUCACGCGGUAAGCCGGCCGCCUGGGGACUACGAGCGCAAGCUUAAAACUCAAAGGAAUUGACGGGGGCCCGCACAAGCAGCGGAGCGUGUGGUUUAAUUCGACGCAACACGAAGAACCUUACCCGGACUUGACAUGGUGCUGCAUCUCCUGGCAACAGGAGCGCCUACGA
rnacentral:rRNA from 1 species